GCUCAACCGGGGAGGGUCAUUGGAAACUGGGGAACUUGAGUGCAGAAGAGGAGAGUGGAAUUCCACGUGUAGCGGUGAAAUGCGUAGAGAUGUGGAGGAACACCAGUGGCGAAGGCGACUCUCUGGUCUGUAACUGACGCUGAGGCGCGAAAGCGUGGGGAGCGAACAGGAUUAGAUACCCUGGUAGUCCACGCCGUAAACGAUGAGUGCUAAGUGUUAGAGGGUUUCCGCCCUUUAGUGCUGCAGCAAACGCAUUAAGCACUCCGCCUGGGGAGUACGGUCGCAAGACUGAAACUCAAAGGAAUUGACGGGGGCCCGCACAAGCGGUGGAGCAUGUGGUUUAAUUCGAAGCAACGCGAAGAACCUUACCAGGUCUUGACAUCCUCUGACGACCCUAGAGAUAGGGCUUCCCCUUCGGGGGCAGAGUGACAGGUGGUGCAUGGUUGUCGUCAGCUCGUGUCGUGAGAUGUUGGGUUAAGUCCCGCAACGAGCGCAACCCUUGAUCUUAGUUGCCAGCAUUCAGUUGGGCACUCUAAGGUGACUGCCGGUGACAAACCGGAGGAAGGUGGGGAUGACGUCAAAUCAUCAUGCCCCUUAUGACCUGGGCUACACACGUGCUACAAUGGGCAGAACAAAG
rnacentral:rRNA from 1 species